rnacentral:rRNA from 1 species
UACAGAUGGGGCACGCGUUGUUCGGAAUUACUGGGCGUAAAGGGCGCGUAGGCGGCCGGCUCCGUCGAACGUGAAAUCCCCGGGCUCAACCCGGGAACUGCGUUCGAUACUGGCUGGCUUGAAUCCGGGAGAGGGAUGCGGAAUUCCAGGUGUAGCGGUGAAAUGCGUAGAUAUCUGGAGGAACACCGGUGGCGAAGGCGGCAUCCUGGACCAACACUGACGCUGAGGAGCGAAAGCCAGGGGAGCAAACGGG